rnacentral:sRNA from 1 species
AGACCAACUAUAGCAGCACUGUAUGCCAUAGAAAUAAUAAAUGAUCUUAAGGCAUUAUACAAAAAGGAUCCCAACGACCACGUUUCUAAACUGGAUCAAGAAAUAAGGAACUUUGAAAACUUGGCCAUAUCCACAUUGAACAGAACCUACGCUACAAAUCCGGACAUCGUGCAUAACUUGCUCAUCUAUAAGUUAAAAGGAUCGUGGAAAGACUAUAACUGUGUGGACUUAGCGUUACGUAACAAACUUGGUAAAUUUCUAUCUCAAACACCGUGCAUCAUGCUGAAUGAAGAGAUGUGGAA